CCUACGGGCGGCAGCAGUGGGGAAUAUUGGACAAUGGGGGCAACCCUGAUCCAGCCAUGCCGCGUGUGUGAAGAAGGCCCUCGGGUUGUAAAGCACUUUCAGUGAGGAAGAACGCCUGGUGGUUAAUACCCAUCAGGAAAGACAUCACUCACAGAAGAAGCACCGGCUAAACUCCGUGCCAGCAGCCGCGGUAAUACGGAGGGUGCGAGCGUUAAUCGGAAUUACUGGGCGUAAAGCGCGCGUAGGUGGCUUGAUAAGCCGGUUGUGAAAGCCCCGGGCUCAACCUGGGAACGGCAUCCGGAACUGUCAAGCUAGAGUGCAGGAGAGGAAGGUAGAAUUCCCGGUGUAGCGGUGAAAUGCGUAGAGAUCGGGAGGAAUACCAGUGGCGAAGGCGGCCUUCUGGACUGACACUGACACUGAGGUGCGAAAGCGUGGGUAGCAAACAGGAUUAGAUACCCCAGUAGUC
rnacentral:rRNA from 1 species